rnacentral:rRNA from 1 species
CAGCCGCCGCGGGAAUACGAAGGGGGCUAGCGUUGUUCGGAUUUACUGGGCGUAAAGCGCACGUAGGCGGAUCCUUAAGUCAGAGGUGAAAUCCCAAGGCUCAACCUUGGAACUGCCUUUGAUACUGGGGAUCUCGAGUUCGGGAGAGGUGGGUGGAACUGCGAGUGUAGAGGUGAAAUUCGUAGAUAUUCGCAAGAACACCAGUGGCGAAGGCGGCUCACUGGCCCGAUACUGACGCUGAGGUGCGAAAGCGUGGGGAGCAAACAGGAUUAGAUACCCCAGUAGUCCCUGUCUCUUAUAC